GAUUGAACGCUGGCGGCAGGCCUAACACAUGCAAGUCGAGCGGUAGCACAGAGAGCUUGCUCUCGGGUGACGAGCGGCGGACGGGUGAGUAAUGUCUGGGAAACUGCCUGAUGGAGGGGGAUAACUACUGGAAACGGUAGCUAAUACCGCAUAACGUCGCAAGACCAAAGUGGGGGACCUUCGGGCCUCAUGCCAUCAGAUGUGCCCAGAUGGGAUUAGCUAGUAGGUGGGGUAACGGCUCACCUAGGCGACGAUCCCUAGCUGGUCUGAGAGGAUGACCAGCCACACUGGAACUGAGACACGGUCCAGACUCCUACGGGAGGCAGCAGUGGGGAAUAUUGCACAAUGGGCGCAAGCCUGAUGCAGCCAUGCCGCGUGUGUGAAGAAGGCCUUCGGGUUGUAAAGCACUUUCAGCGGGGAGGAAGGCGUUAAGGUUAAUAACCUUGGCGAUUGACGUUACCCGCAGAAGAAGCACCGGCUAACUCCGUGCCAGCAGCCGCGGUAAUACGGAGGGUGCAAGCGUUAAUCGGAAUUACUGGGCGUAAAGCGCACGCAGGCGGUCUGUCAAGUCGGAUGUGAAAUCCCCGGGCUCAACCUGGGAACUGCAUUCGAAACUGGCAGGCUAGAGUCUUGUAGAGGGGGGUAGAAUUCCAGGUGUAGCGGUGAAAUGCGUAGAGAUCUGGAGGAAUACCGGUGGCGAAGGCGGCCCCCUGGACAAAGACUGACGCUCAGGUGCGAAAGCGUGGGGAGCAAACAGGAUUAGAUACCCUGGUAGUCCACGCCGUAAACGAUGUCGAUUUGGAGGUUGUGCCCUUGAGGCGUGGCUUCCGGAGCUAACGCGUUAAAUCGACCGCCUGGGGAGUACGGCCGCAAGGUUAAAACUCAAAUGAAUUGACGGGGGCCCGCACAAGCGGUGGAGCAUGUGGUUUAAUUCGAUGCAACGCGAAGAACCUUACCUGGUCUUGACAUCCACAGAACUUUCCAGAGAUGGAUUGGUGCCUUCGGGAACUGUGAGACAGGUGCUGCAUGGCUGUCGUCAGCUCGUGUUGUGAAAUGUUGGGUUAAGUCCCGCAACGAGCGCAACCCUUAUCCUUUGUUGCCAGCGGUUCGGCCGGGAACUCAAAGGAGACUGCCAGUGAUAAACUGGAGGAAGGUGGGGAUGACGUCAAGUCAUCAUGGCCCUUACGACCAGGGCUACACACGUGCUACAAUGGCAUAUACAAAGAGAAGCGACCUCGCGAGAGCAAGCGGACCUCAUAAAGUAUGUCGUAGUCCGGAUUGGAGUCUGCAACUCGACUCCAUGAAGUCGGAAUCGCUAGUAAUCGUAGAUCAGAAUGCUACGGUGAAUACGUUCCCGGGCCUUGUACACACCGCCCGUCACACCAUGGGAGUGGGUUGCAAAAGAAGUAGGUAGCUUAACCUUCGGGAGNGGCGCUUACCACUUUGUGAUUCAUGACUGGGGUGAAGUCGUAACAAGG
rnacentral:rRNA from 1 species